UAAGGGCUCUUCCCAAAGUCCAGCCAUUGGUGAACCUGGCCGAGCAUUAUCAUCGUGGACUGUAGAGUUUGGGCAGCAAUUCAGUAAGGAAUUUUCUUUGACCCAUUCAGACACUGCAAGUCCUGAGCCUCCCAUCUUUUAUAGCCAUAGCAGGUUAGAUGUUCAACUAAGUCUGCUGCUCUUCUCAGGGCUUUUGUAACAGCUAACAAACAGGAGUGUUUCAAUACAAGGAAGAUGCACCGUUGCCUUAGGUAAGAACUAUUUUGCAACAGUUCACUGAGGUGAUAUGAUGCAAUCAUUACAACUCCAUAAAUAGAGAGCCACGUCUGUCCCAGGACUAAGAUUUGGUCCAGAACCAGUCUCAGCAUGAAGGUCCUUUAUCUGCUGUUCACAUUUCUUUUCCUUGCAUUCCUGUCUGAACCAGGGAAUGCCCAACGACAGUGUCAUCGGGUAGGCGGAUUCUGCCGUGUCGCCCAAUGUCCUCCUACAACUUCUGAAAUUGGUCAGCUGGGCUGUGAGCCACUACUGAAGUGCUGUAGAAGGGAAAGGGGAAAAUAAUGCCAUCUCCAUCUACGACCAUGGAUAUCUUCAAGACAUGGCCAAGGACCUGAGAUUGCCACCUGCUAUCGCUUUAUCUUUCUUUAUAUAAAUAAAAUUGCUACCCAUCAAA